rnacentral:rRNA from 1 species
UAAAACGUAGGAGGCAAGCGUUAUCCGGAGUUACUGGGCGUAAAGCGCAUGUAGGCGGUCAGGCAAGUUGAGUGUGAAAGCGCCCGGCUAAACUGGGCGAGGACAUUUAAGACUGCCUGGCUAGAGGAUGGUAGAGGGGCGCAGAAUUCGGGGUGUAGCGGUGAAAUGUGUAGAGAUCCCGAGGAAUACCAGUGGUGAAGACGGCGCCCUGGGCCGUACCUGACGCUGAGAUGCGAAAGCGUGGGGAGCGAACGGGAUUAGAGACCCCGGUAGUCCACGCCGUAAACGAUGCUUGCUAGGUGUCCACUUCCCGACAGGGAAGGGGGUGCCGCAGCUAACGCGCUAAGCAAGCCGCCUGGGGAGUACGGUCGCAAGGCUA